GGCCUUCAAAAAUCUGUGCCUUUCCAGCCAUCAUACCUCAGUGAAAGGAGUCACUGGUGAGGAGCCACAUGCCCAGUGGAAGAUGGAUGAGUCCUAUCUUUGUACACUAAAGAUGCAGUGAGGAAGAUGAACCCAGGUGCCAGUACCUUGAUGUUGGACUGCCCAGCUCCAGAUUUCAACCGCCCCCUCAGAAGAGUGGCUGCGCUUUCCACCAGCUGUAAAUGAAGGAGGGAAGAGAGCGCUUUUCUGACUGGUCCUGUGAACAGCACCGGAUUCAAAGGAAGGGCUGAAAAUACCGCUGUCUGAUUGGCUGCAGGUCCUUUGAGGACUGGGAAUGCAGUGUAGUGGUAAAUCACCAGGCCUGGGGCCCUGGGCUUGAUCUCCUCCUGCCCCAGAGAAGAAGUCUUCCAGCUAUAUUCUCCCGAGCAACAAAAGGAAAUCCUUAUCAUAUUUUAUAUGACACAAGUCCUUUGAUAUUUUUGUUGAAAGAUAUUUAACAAAAUUUCUAUUGUCAUCUGAAACACUUGGUUAGACCAUUUCUUUAGCAAUGUUCUGUUCAUUUUACCUCAGUGAUUACAAUUACAAAUAUUGCAAAACAAAGAUAAAGCCAAUUUCACUUGCAUACCCAUUUUUCUGUGGGUUUAGACUCUCAAAAUAUGGUGACACAAGAUGAGAACUUACCAUGAUGCAAAUCUGAGCUCAAAUUUAUGAAAUAAACCAAUUCAGUUCAGCUGUGAUUAAAUAAAGACACAGAGGAAAACCAUUUUUUUCCGGAUUGCAAGUGAUUCAUUAAUUCAUGUAACCUUGUAUCUGCUGUUAUUUUUCUAAGUGCUUGGUAUAAUCAGUGAACAAAGCAGACAAAAUUCCUGUUUGCUUAUGAACUAGUUUCUCGAAUUAAAAUUGUUCCAAUUUAAAACGUUUUCCCUUACAAUGGUCUAUUUUAGACACCGUUAGACUCUUGGGUGGCUGCUUCUUUUCUCUAUUAGUAGAAGGGACUUCCUGGAAACAUUCAAGAAACACUGCUGUAGGUCUCUAACUUCCCUAGGUACCUAUGGUAGUUAAUUGAUCAGGCCGCUCUUUUGGGGGAAUGUGAAAUACGCGAGUGGACAGAAGAGGGUGACCUCCUGUGACAUCCGGUGACACAGAUGCGGCUGAGGGAGCCACAGAGGCCUCACAGAUUGGAAGAGGCAGGAAGUUCCUAUUUUCAGACCCUGGCCUUUCACUCUGGAUCACACUGAAUCCAUCCAGGAAAUUCCUGCUCUUGGAAUCCCUUUUCUUGGGCUCCGCGCAGAUCAGCUCCCUUCUAUUUAGACAGGACUCAGACUAAGUGGUUACAUUUCAUCCUCUGUACUUACAUCGCAGUGUAUGUUGUUCCUUGGCUGCAUGCAGCUCUCACUGAAACAAUACAGGCGUUCCCACUGUUUAACUACCUCCUGUAACAGUGUCAUUUUUUCAAUUCUAAAAAUGAUGUCUGUAUUUAAUUAUGAGUCUAUUUUAAAUAUGUGUUGCAGGAAAAUAUAAUUUUUAAUGUCUGGGCAUCUAAUGUUGCUUUUACCAUCUAUCAUAUGAGUUAUGAGUGAUUUUGUUAUAUUAGUAAAGUUUUGAGUUCUGGGGAUAGAGUCAGAAGAAAAUAACAGUAAAUGUGGAGAGAGAAGAGAGGGCUCCUCUUUGCAUCUUUCUCAUUCCCUCGCAGUGAGGUCCUCUGUGGGCGUCCUGUCCCUUGCAGUUCCUGAAAAUUCCUGAGGUAAGCACUCAGCCUGCUGGGUAGUGGGUCGGGUCAGUGGUGGUUACUCUCCUAACUGCCUUUGGGUGGGUCCUGGCUCCUGCACUCUGAGUUUCUUGAUCUCAGAUCUCGCUUUUACAGGUUUCCUUGCCUGGACACUUGUUUCUACCCAGGCUUUGCAUGCAGUGUGGAGCGCUGCUCAAGAAAUCUCCUUGAGGAUGAGCACCUGUGUAGCUCCUGUCCCAAGUCCUUGUGUGAUGCUGUUACAGGCUCUGGAUCUGGCGGGAAGCUCACUCUUGCUUUUGCUGAGCAAAUACCUCAUCAAUGCAUUGAGGCCGGCUAUCAACUCCACCAUUUUGCUUUUGAUGACCUCCCCCCGCCCAGGUCUCAGCUUCUCUUUUAGCCUGAGCUUUCCUAGAAAAAGUUUUUAUUACCAACAAUGUGUCUUCCACAGUUUAAUAAUUCUUUCCUAUUAUUCCUACACUUACCUUCCUUUAAAAAAUACUGUGGCUACUUCUUUGACUUUCAUUACAAACUAACAGAGAACAUUAACUCAGACAACCCCAUCACUGGGUUAUUUUAAACCCAAAAUUUCUAGCAAAGAUUGAAAUAAAGAUAUAUUAUUCAGGCUUGAUCAUUGGGUAUUAUUUUAAAACUGAUCGGCCUUAGGUAGAAAAAAAUGUGCAGAUCUCAAAUAGCAGCAUUAAACUUGUUUAAUGAUUCUUAUAACACUGGCACACAAAUGAUUUAAUUGGAAUAUGAAGCUUCAAAGAGGAACUGAUGGCAGAGCACAAUUAAAUCAAAGCGAGAGGUAAACGGGAAGAAAUUGCUUGCUACAGUUAGAAUGUGCGCCUACAAAAUUCCCAUAGCAAGUUAGUCUCCACUGCAAUAGUAUUCAGAGUGAGGACCUUAAGCCAUGACUAAAUCAUGGGGGCUCCUCCCUCAUGAACAAGAUUUGGGGCCCUUAUUGAAAGAGACUACACACCAGCCAGCUCCUUUCUGCUGUUCUGUAUUUCUGCCACGUAGGGUGAGCAUAUGGCCUUUGUCAUGUGAGGUAUGGCAACAAGGCACCAUCCUGGAUGCAAAGAACAGUCCUCUGCAGACAGUGAAUUUGCCAGCACCUUGAUCUUAGAAAUCCCACCCUCCAGAACUGUGAAAGACACAUUUCUGUCCUUUAUGAGUUCUCCAGGUCCAGGUAUAUUCUUAUAGCAGCACAAUGGACCGAGAUGGUGCUUCAUAAGGAAGGCUCCCAUUUAUCCUGCAGUGCAUGUACGAUAUAUAGCAUGAAACUUUCUGUGACUCUUUCGGGCUGAGAAGGCCAGAAUUUUGUAAAUGCUUAUUUUUUUUGUUUGUUUGUUUUGUUUUCCGGUACUGGGAACCGAACUCACGACCUUGCACUUGCCAGGCAGGCGCUUUGCCGCUGAGCUAAACCCCCAGCCCCUGUAAAUGCUUAUUGAUUUCACCUUCAACAUCACGUUCCAUGUACAAAGCUUAUAUGAAAUCAGAGGACAGGCACUGAAAGUAGGACAGAUUUUUCUAAAAUCAGCUUUGCAUGCUUCUUGUAUUUGUUAAAACCGUAUAAAGAAAGAGGGGUGAUUUUUGAUUAAGAUCAUAGAAUUAAAAGAAACUAAAUAAAAAUAAAAUAAUUCCAGUGUCAUGUAUAAAACGUAACAGAACAAAAAUGAAAAAAUAAGUGUUCAUUCUUUUUCUUCCUCUUUUCUUUGUAUGGGAAAAGAAGAUAGGAAAAAGAGCCUAAGCCAGCAGACUGAAGAGCUACUUAUUUUUAUCAUCUCAAAAGAUGUAUUCUAAUUAUCGUUUUUGGAGCAUUAAUACAGGGAAAGAGGACACAGUAUUAGAGGCUCAGCUCUGAUACCAUCCUUGUAACGCUGGCAGCACAGGCACCCACAGUCUCAGGGGCUUUGCCUUUAAUCAAGACUGUUAGCUAGGCACCAUGGCACACAUCUGUAAUCUCAGCCACGCAAGACGCUGAGGUAGGAGGGUCUCCUGAUCACGGCCAGUUUGGGGAAUUUCGUGUGACCUUUUCUCAAAACAAAGUAAUGAAAAAGGCUGAGGGUGUAGCUCGGUGCACAGUGACCCUGGGUUCAGUCCCACAGUACUGCAAAAACAAACACACACAGCCAGACUGUUCUGAGUGACUCCUAACUGGAUUCUUCUCUAAUCUCCGCCCCUCAGAUCUUCAUAUGAGACUCUAGAUUUUUCUUGUUCUUCCCCUUUUUUGUUAGAAUUUGCCAGUCUAACCCAUUGGAUUUGUUAGAUCAUUGAAAUGUGAAUUCAGUUUUAAGUCUUGUUAUCUUACUUCCACAGAAACAAAAAUUAUUUCCUAUGAUAAGAAAAAUUUAUAUAUCAAAAUAAUUGAGUAACCAUCAUCGCUGGCACUUGCCCAAGGGCUCUCUCUACAGUUUUUAAAAACUUUUUUGCAUGAGGAAGCCCAUUUUUUGAAGAAGCAUAUUUUCUAAGUGAGAUGAAUAAGACACAGUUUUAAAUUCUGACGAAAGGACUUGCCACUUAAGAAAAACAUGGAGAAGCCAAAGCAAAGUAGUAUUACAAAUGCAAAUUUCAGAAGUGAAUGCUCUUUUCAAAGAAGACUGUUGGUCAGGUGUGGUGGCCCAUGCCUGUCAUCCCAGCACUCUGGAGGGUGAGGCAGGAGGAUAACUGUGAGUUCAAA